GCCCAGACUACGGGAGGCAGCAGUGAGGAAUAUUGGUCAAUGGCCGGAAGGCUGAACCAGCCAAGCCGCGUGAAGGACGAAGGUGCCAAGCAUUGUAAACUUCUUUUGUCAAGGGACAAAAUCAGGCUCGAGAGCCUGACCGAGGGUACUUGAAGAAAAAGCAUCGGCUAACUCCGUGCCAGCAGCCGCGGUAAUACGGAGGAUGCGAGCGUUAUCCGGAUUUAUUGGGUUUAAAGGGUGCGUAGGCGGACUGUUAAGUCAGCGGUAAAAGCCGGGGGCCCACCCCCGGCGAGCCGUUGAAACUGUGUCCCUUGAGUGCGCGAAGGGUAGGCGGAAUGCGUGGUGUAGCGGUGAAAUGCAUAGAUAUCGCGCAGAACUCCGAUUGCGAAGGCAGCAUGCCGGCUCCACACUGACGCUGAGGCACGAAAGCGUGGGUAUCGAACAGGAUUAGAUACCCGCGUAC
rnacentral:rRNA from 1 species